rnacentral:rRNA from 1 species
AGUUGGUGUUGUGAUUCAAAUUGUGUUUGGAGCUAUAGUUGAUGUAGUGCCUGUUAUGCAGGCAGUUGUUGGCUAUUUGCUUUAUACUCAAUGCACUUCACUUAACCACGAUGGAGCUCUGACUCUUUAUGUCAACUUGAUUGUUUAGGGCAACUCUUCAUUGUGGUGGAUUCCUUCACGGGAGUCUUUCACUUUAGAGGGAGAUAAUCAAGUUACGGUGAAGAGUUGAAUUACUUACAUUUGUAAGUGUUCAGAUCGUCAGUUGAUAUAGUGUA